rnacentral:tRNA from 1 species
GGACGGGUGGCCGAGUGGUUUAAGGCAGCGGUCUUGAAAACCGCCGGGGGUGCAAGCCUCCCGUGAGUUCGAAUCUCACCCCGUCCGCCA